AUUGAACGCUGGCGGCAGGCUUAACACAUGCAAGUCGAGCGGUAGCACAGGGGAGCUUGCUCCCUGGGUGACGAGCGGCGGACGGGUGAGUAAUGUCUGGGAAACUGCCUGAUGGAGGGGGAUAACUACUGGAAACGGUAGCUAAUACCGCAUAACGUCGCAAGACCAAAGAGGGGGACCUUCGGGCCUCUUGCCAUCAGAUGUGCCCAGAUGGGAUUAGCUAGUAGGUGGGGUAAUGGCUCACCUAGGCGACGAUCCCUAGCUUGUCUGAGAGGAUGACCAGCCACACUGGAACUGAGACACGGUCCAGACUCCUACGGGAGGCAGCAGUGGGGAAUAUUGCACAAUGGGCGCAAGCCUGAUGCAGCCAUGCCGCGUGUGUGAAGAAGGCCUUCGGGUUGUAAAGCACUUUCAGCGAGGAGGAAGGUGGUGAGCUUAAUACGUUCAUCAAUUGACGUUACUCGCAGAAGAAGCACCGGCUAACUCCGUG
rnacentral:rRNA from 1 species